GCGGGCGUGGCGAAAUUGGUAGACGCACCGGACUUAAAAUCCGUUGGCCCGCGAGGGCCGUGCCGGUUCAAGUCCGGCCGCCCGCACCA
rnacentral:tRNA from 1 species